UUAAGCGACUAAGCGUACACGGUGGAUGCCUAGGCAGUCAGAGGCGAUGAAGGGCGUGCUAAUCUGCGAAAAGCGUCGGUAAGGUGAUAUGAACCGUUAUAACCGACGAUACCCGAAUGGGGAAACCCAGUGCAAUUCGUUGCACUAUUGCAUGGUGAAUACAUAGCCAUGCAAGGCGAACCGGGGGAACUGAAACAUCUAAGUACCCCGAGGAAAAGAAAUCAACCGAGAUUCCCCCAGUAGCGGCGAGCGAACGGGGAGGAGCCCAGAACCUGAAUCAGCAUAUGUGUUAGUGGAAGCGUCUGGAAAGUCGCACGGUACAGGGUGAUAGUCCCGUACACAAAAAUGCAUAUGUUGUGAGUUCGAUGAGUAGGGCGGGACACGUGACAUCCUGUCUGAAUAUGGGGGGACCAUCCUCCAAGGCUAAAUACUCCUGACUGACCGAUAGUGAACCAGUACCGUGAGGGAAAGGCGAAAAGAACCCCGGCGAGGGGAGUGAAAUAGAACCUGAAACCGUGUACGUACAAGCAGUGGGAGCACCUUCGUGGUGUGACUGCGUACCUUUUGUAUAAUGGGUCAGCGACUUAUAUUUUGUAGCAAGGUUAACCGAAUAGGGGAGCCGUAGGGAAACCGAGUCUUAACUGGGCGAAUAGUUGCAAGGUAUAGACCCGAAACCCGGUGAUCUAGCCAUGGGCAGGUUGAAGGUUGGGUAACACUAACUGGAGGACCGAACCGACUAAUGUUGAAAAAUUAGCGGAUGACUUGUGGCUGGGGGUGAAAGGCCAAUCAAACCGGGAGAUAGCUGGUUCUCCCCGAAAGCUAUUUAGGUAGCGCCUCGUGAACUCAUCUUCGGGGGUAGAGCACUGUUUCGGCUAGGGGGUCAUCCCGACUUACCAAACCGAUGCAAACUCCGAAUACCGAAGAAUGUUAUCACGGGAGACACACGGCGGGUGCUAACGUCCGUCGUGAAGAGGGAAACAACCCAGACCGCCAGCUAAGGUCCCAAAGUCAUGGUUAAGUGGGAAACGAUGUGGGAAGGCAUAGACAGCCAGGAUGUUGGCUUAGAAGCAGCCAUCAUUUAAAGAAAGCGUAAUAGCUCACUGGUCGAGUCGGCCUGCGCGGAAGAUGUAACGGGGCUAAACCAUGCACCGAAGCUGCGGCAGCGACACUUAGGUGUUGUUGGGUAGGGGAGCGUUCUGUAAGCCGUUGAAGGUGACCUGUGAGGGUUGCUGGAGGUAUCAGAAGUGCGAAUGCUGACAUAAGUAACGAUAAUGCGGGUGAAAAACCCGCACGCCGGAAGACCAAGGGUUCCUGUCCAACGUUAAUCGGGGCAGGGUGAGUCGACCCCUAAGGCGAGGCUGAAAAGCGUAGUCGAUGGGAAACAGGUUAAUAUUCCUGUACUUGGUGUUACUGCGAAGGGGGGACGGAGAAGGCUAGGCUAGCCGGGCGACGGUUGUCCCGGUUUAAGCAUGUAGGCGGAGUGACUUGGUAAAUCCGGUUGCUUAUCAACGCUGAGGUGUGAUGACGAGCCACUACGGUGGUGAAGUAGUUGAUGCCAAGCUUCCAGGAAAAGCCUCUAAGCAUCAGGUAACAUUAAAUCGUACCCCAAACCGACACAGGUGGUCAGGUAGAGAAUACUCAGGCGCUUGAGAGAACUCGGGUGAAGGAACUAGGCAAAAUGGUGCCGUAACUUCGGGAGAAGGCACGCUGGCAUUAGGUAAAGGGACUUGCUCCCGGAGCUGAAGCCAGUCGCAGAUACCAGCUGGCUGCAACUGUUUAAUAAAAACACAGCACUGUGCAAACACGAAAGUGGACGUAUACGGUGUGACGCCUGCCCGGUGCUGGAAGGUUAAUUGAUGGGGUCAGCCGCAAGGCGAAGCUCUUGAUCGAAGCCCCAGUAAACGGCGGCCGUAACUAUAACGGUCCUAAGGUAGCGAAAUUCCUUGUCGGGUAAGUUCCGACCUGCACGAAUGGCGUAAUGAUGGCCAGGCUGUCUCCACCCGAGACUCAGUGAAAUUGAACUCGCUGUGAAGAUGCAGUGUACCCGCGGCAAGACGGAAAGACCCCGUGAACCUUUACUAUAGCUUGACACUGAACAUUGAGCCUUGAUGUGUAGGAUAGGUGGGAGGCAUUGAAGUGUGGACGCCAGUCUGCAUGGAGCCAACCUUGAAAUACCACCCUUUAAUGUUUGAUGUUCUAACUCGGCCCCGUGAUCCGGGGUGAGGACAGUGUCUGGUGGGUAGUUUGACUGGGGCGGUCUCCUCCCAAAGAGUAACGGAGGAGCACGAAGGUUAGCUAAUCACGGUCGGACAUCGUGAGGUUAGUGCAAAGGCAUAAGCUAGCUUGACUGCGAGAGUGACGGCUCGAGCAGGUACGAAAGUAGGUCUUAGUGAUCCGGUGGUUCUGAAUGGAAGGGCCAUCGCUCAACGGAUAAAAGGUACUCCGGGGAUAACAGGCUGAUACCGCCCAAGAGUUCAUAUCGACGGCGGUGUUUGGCACCUCGAUGUCGGCUCAUCACAUCCUGGGGCUGAAGUAGGUCCCAAGGGUAUGGCUGUUCGCCAUUUAAAGUGGUACGCGAGCUGGGUUUAGAACGUCGUGAGACAGUUCGGUCCCUAUCUGCCGUGGGCGUUGGAAGAUUGAGAGGGGCUGCUCCUAGUACGAGAGGACCGGAGUGGACGAAUCACUGGUGUUCGGGUUGUCAUGCCAAUGGCAUUGCCCGGUAGCUAAAUUCGGAAGAGAUAACCGCUGAAAGCAUCUAAGCGGGAAACUUGCCUCGAGAUGAGUCUUCCCUGGGGCUUUAAGCCCCCUGAAGGAACGUUAAAGACUAUGACGUUGAUAGGCUGGGUGUGUAAGUGCAGCGAUGCAUUGAGCUAACCAGUACUAAUGAUCCGUGAGGCUUAACCUU
rnacentral:rRNA from 1 species